AAUAAAAUGUUUGAUGUGUCUGCGUCUACCUAUAAUUUCAAAAUACAUUAAUAAUUUUAUAACAUUAUUUUGUUAAUUUCGAUAAGUCCUAAUGUACGUGCUGCGUGCUCGCUCCAUGUCGUGCACGUUCUAUGUACGUAUCUGCUGACUCUGAGGAAGAAUUAAAAAUGGCGGCUGCAGCACGAGAGCUUGAUCGAUUUCAUCGACACGAGUCAUGCGGCGAAAAAAUGAAAAGAAAGAAGAAUUCCAGAAUAAAUCUCAGAGGAUUAUUCAUUAAAUUUGUGAAACCAAACGUUAGCCACCAUGAAGAUGCCACUAUCAACACUUCUGCUGUUACUACCGUCGAGCCCCGAGAAGACAUAACUUUAGUUCAGGACGGACCAGUAUUACUGUUACCUAUCGGUAAAACGGCUGACUGCCUUAGUUCAUGCUGCUGCUAUGUCUUCUGUAAUUAUAUAUUACAAAACACAUUUAAACUCAUAUUGGAUACGUGCAUAAAUUGGAUUAUUAAUAAAUGCCUCAAAGACUUCCUUCCUUCACUCUUGGUUCUCUGACCGGAAUCUGGUUCAUACUUUGCCGCCUCAACCAGUUAAAUUUUGAGAGCAACAUAAAGCCAGAAUGGACCCAGCAGUAAGUGAUGCAGAGACAACAGAAAGACCUUGCAGCAGGACAAAUCUGCCACCUCAGCUGGAUGAAUAUGAGGUUGGAUACCAGGGGACCCUCCUCCUAAAGCUUCUACCUCCUGUCCUAGCCAGCAUGGAAGCAGUUCCAGGAAGACGUCUCAUAGCGACACCAUCUCUCAUUCCAGGACCAGCAGGCGUUCAGUUACCUCAUGAGGCCUUUACCUACAGAGCUCUCUAUGUUCCAGACUGCUGCUUUGGAGUAAGAAUUUAGCAGAGGCAGUUUGACAGUCUCAGGCAACAGGUAGAGGAAGAUUCACUUGCAGACAGGGAAUAUCAGUGGCUGCAGAAACAAGUUAAAGAAGCUCAGUGCAUCCAGGAGGAGGCUCUCACAGCAAAGGAGACUUUGUCCAAACGUCUAGAAAGACACAAAAGCUGCAAGAAGCAGAGACUGAGCUAGAGGUAGCGAAGCUCGUAUCAUACAUGCUUACUACAGACUCUGGCUCAUCCACUCAUCCAAUCCCUUCAGGCUCACCAGUUGGCUCUUUGGAUCCCACUCAACUUAUUCAUAGCAGCCCAGCUGUGUGUCCACAGUCUUCCUCCUUGCAUCAGCAGCUCUCCUCCCAAUUCCUAGUGUUGGCACUGCAGCCCAUCACAGCCACACUUACAAGUCCAUAUGUGAUACAACAGGCAUUAUUCCCUCCAGUGACACCGCAUGCUCAUCCAGUGCAGCCUCCAGUUACCGGCCAGCGGAUAUCAGCCCUGUCACCUCAUGCUCCAAGCUUUACUCAACCAUCCUCAUUCGUGCACCUCCCCCACACUGGGCAUUCUGCAUACCCGGGUACAGAGCUACUGUUCGCCUCGGCUUAUGGCAUCCCACAACCUAAGCUCCCAGUGUUUGAAAGUGGUAAUGAGAGUGACUUCGCCUUGUUCAAAUUGGUAUUGGACAAUUUGUUGAGUAACCACAGCUAUCUUAGUGAGCAAUACAAAUAACAUGUCUUGUUAAGACAUUUGAAACAUCCCAGUGCUCAGCAGCAAUCUAAAUCCUACAUGUACCAUCCGCAUCCAUACUCUGCUGCCCUGCAGGCACUUCAAGAUAAGUACGGGCAGACACAACAACUUGUGCAAUCAGAGCUGGGCUCCAUCAUGAACAGUCCGUCACUUAAACUGGGUGAUGCAAAUGCCUUUGAUUCCUUUGCACUUUCUAUACAAUCAUUAGUUGGCAUGCUGAGGACUCUUAAAGGCCAGAAUGGUUACAAGGUCAUGUGUGGCUCUCAUGUGGAUCAUCUACUAGGCAAGUUGAAGGGCUUCGUUGAAUACUGCCUCAGCAAGAGAAUUCUGCAAUUGUAUCAGUGAUACCCUGCAGAACAAUCUACGCUCUGUUGAGAUCCUUGAGCCUACCAUGAGGAACAUUUACAAAACUUUGACAUGUCAGUACGACCCCUUGGGGUUCAUUAUCCCAUUCACAACAAGAGCCAAAGUCAUUAUCCAAGACCUCUGGAAGCACAACCUUGGUUGGGAUGACCCCAUAGAGCCAUUACCUUUAAGAGAGAAGUGGCUCGCUUGGGUAGCCGAACUUCCAACACUUCCUCAGCUGCAGUUCUCUCGAGCAUACACCCCAGCCUCUGCGGACAAUCCUUCAGCCAUUCGAGAGCUUCAUGCCUUUAACUAUGCCACGGAAAGAGCCUAUGGUUCUGUUGCUUACUUUCGCACCACAGUUGAGCAAGGACAAGUUAUCGUAAACUUUGUCUUGGCCAGAUCAAGAGUGGCUCCUCGUAAUUUUUUGUCUAUGCCUCGUUGGAUGCCCAGUUGGCCAAGGUGAUCCGAGCGGAGUUGACCUUACCUAUCCACAGGGUCACUUUUUGGUCUGACUCUGCCACUGUGUUAAAAUGGCUGACAUCGGAGCCCUGCCGAUACAAAGUGUUUGUGGGGAUACACAUGGCAGAGAUACAGACUCUAACAAAGAUGGCUGAAUGGAGAUACAGUAUGUGGAUAUGGGUCAUAACCAAAAGUUGGCAAGCCCUCAUCAGUGGAGUUUAGGACCAGCCUUUAUGAUUCAGCCACCCGACCAUUGGCCAUCCAUGCCUAAAACUGAAGAAAAACCUGAUUGCAGUGAAAUAAAGAAGUCUGCCUUUAUUGGAAAUGUUUCAGCACCUAGCAAUCCUCUUCCUGAUCCAGUUCAAUUCCACAAAUGGCAAGAGCUUGUCCAGUCCACUGUUAGAUCCCUGCAUGGGGUGGCUGCAACAAACACUGACCUUCCUAAGGAGGUCUUCGAUUACAUUAAGGUGGAGAAGCUUCUUCUGGCACGGGCUCAAAUGGAUUCAUUUCUUACUGAGGUCAUGGCUUUAAAGUCGUUUUGUCUCACUUGCCCCUGAGUAUGAUGAUGCCACUGGUCUUAAUAGAGUGGGUGGAAGGCUACGGCAUGCCAGUGACCUCGACCUAGAGGCCAUAAACCCAAUUGUGUUAGACCCUAGGUGCUAGACCCUAGGAGCCACCAAGCUGCUAAUUAAAGACACUGAUCAGCGACUCCUUCACCCUGGCUCAGAACGGGUUCUAGCUGAACUGCGGCGCCAGUAUUGGGUACUCGGAGGCAGAGAAGCAGUUCGUAAACACAGACUUUAAUCUUUUUACUCCACUUUCAGAGACUUAUUUUGUGUGGGAGUGUGACUUCCUUCUAUUCACAGAAGUCCAUGUAAGUGUUUGUUAUAGAUUUUGUGUGUGUAUGCCUUCAAUCAUCUUUGCAUCUGAAACACUUUUUAUUGAUUGAUUUAUCGUUAUGGACUUGGCUAAGAGAGAAGACAUAUUUUAUUUAAUUGUCUUGUUCUGGCUUGUUUGCAGUGUCACUUCCACUUCUGCCA